rnacentral:rRNA from 1 species
AUUAGAUUAAAAACCAAUGCCCCUCGGGGCUCUCUGGUGAUUCAUGAUAACUUCUCGAAUCGCAUGGCCUUGCGCCGGCGAUGGUUCAUUCAAAUUUCUUCCCUAUCAACUUUCGAUGUUUGGGUAUUGGCCAAACAUGGUUGCAACGGGUAACGGAGGGUUAGGGCUCGACCCCGGAGAAGGAGCCUGAGAAACGGCUACUACAUCCAAGGAAGGCAGCAGGCGCGCAAAUUACCCAAUCCCGACUCGGGGAGGUAGUGACAAUAAAUACUGAUACAGGGUUCUUUCGGAUCUUGUAAUUGGAAUGAGUACAAUUUAAAUCCCUUAACGAGGAACAAUUGGAGGGCAAGUCUGGUGCCAGCAGCCGCGGUAAUUCCAGCUCCAAUAGCGUAUAUUAAAGUUGUUGUGGUUAAAAAGCUCGUAGUUGAACCUUGGGCCUGGCUGGCCGGUCCGCCUCACCGCGUGUACUGGUCCGGCCGGGCCUUUCCCUCUGUGGAACCCUAUGCCCUUCACUGGG